rnacentral:rRNA from 1 species
CAGUAGCCGCGGUAAUACGUAGGGUGCAAGCGUUAAUCGGAAUUACUGGGCGUAAAGCGUGCGCAGGCGGUUAUAUAAGACAGAUGUGAAAUCCCCGGGCUCAACCUGGGAACUGCAUUUGUGACUGUAUAGCUAGAGUACGGCAGAGGGGGAUGGAAUUCCGCGUGUAGCAGUGAAAUGCGUAGAUAUGCGGAGGAACACCGAUGGCGAAGGCAAUCCCCUGGGCCUGUACUGACGCUCAUGCACGAAAGCGUGGGGAGCAAACAGGAUUAGAUACCCGCGUAGUCCCUGUCUCUUAUAU